rnacentral:rRNA from 1 species
GAUCCUGGCUCAGGAUGAACGCUAGCGACAGGCUUAACACAUGCAAGUCGAGGGGCAGCGGGGAGUAGCAAUACUCCGCCGGCGACCGGCGCACGGGUGAGUAACACGUGUGCAACCAACCCCGUACCGGGAGAUAACCCGCGGAAACGUGGACUAAUACCCCAUAACACCUUUCCCCCGCAUGGGGGAGAGUUUAAAAUCCCGAUGGUACGGGACGGGCACGCGCGACAUUAGGUAGUUGGCGGGGUAAACGGCACACCAAGCCGACGAUGU